CAGUAGCCACGGGAAUACGGAGGGUGCAAGCGUUAAUCGGAAUUACUGGGCGUAAAGCGUGCGUAGGCGGUUCGUUAAGACAGAUGUGAAAUCCCCGGGCUCAACCUGGGAACUGCCUUUAAGACUGCAUCGCUUGAACGUCGGAGAGGUGAGUGGAAUUCCGAGUGUAGAGGUGAAAUUCGUAGAUAUUCGGAAGAACACCAGUGGCGAAGGCGGCUCACUGGACGACUGUUGACGCUGAGGUACGAAAGCGUGGGGAGCAAACAGGAUUAGAUACCCCUGUAGUCCCUGUCUCUUAUAC
rnacentral:rRNA from 1 species